AUACGUAGGGGGCGAGCGUUGUCCGGAAUGAUUGGGCGUAAAGGGCGCGUAGGCGGCCCGGUAAGUCUGGAGUGAAAGUCCUGUUUUCAAGGUGGGAAUAGCUUUGGAUACUGGUUGGCUUGAGUGCGGAAGAGGUAAGUGGAAUUCCCAGUGUAGCGGUGAAAUGCGUAGAGAUUGGGAGGAACACCAGUGGCGAAGGCGACUUACUGGGCCGUAACUGACGCUGAGGCGCGAAAGCGUGGGGAGCGAACAGGAUUAGAUACCCUGGUAGUCCACGCGGUAAACGAUGAAUGCUAGGUGUUGCGGGUAUCGACCCCUGCAGUGCCGGAGUCAACACAAUAAGCAUUCCGCCUGGGGAGUACGGCCGCAAGGUUGAAACUCAAAUGAAUUGACGGGG
rnacentral:rRNA from 1 species